GCCCAGACUCCUACGGGAGGCAGCAGUGGGGAAUAUUGGGCAAUGGACGCAAGUCUGACCCAGCAACGCCGCGUGAAGGAAGAAGGCUUUCGGGUUGUAAACUUCUUUUAAGGGGGAAGAGCAGAAGACGGUACCCCUUGAAUAAGCCACGGCUAACUACGUGCCAGCAGCCGCGGUAAUACGUAGGGGGCAAGCGUUAUCCGGAUUCACUGGGUGUAAAGGGAGCGUAGACGGCGACGCAAGUCUGGAGUGAAAGCCCGGGGCCCAACCCCGGGACUGCUCUGGAAACUGCGUCGCUGGAGUACGGGAGGGGCAGGCGGAAUUCCUGGUGUAGCGGUGAAAUGCGUAGAUAUCAGGAGGAACACCAGUGGCGAGGGCGGAUUGCUGGACAGUAACUGACGCUGAGGCGCGAAAGCGUGGGGAGCAAACAGGAUUAGAUACCCCCGUA
rnacentral:rRNA from 1 species